UAAUUAAAAAUUAUAGUAUGUAUAGUGAUAACUUGGAAAUAAAAACAGAACUACCAAGUAAUCAGAAAAUCCACUCUUUAAUCAGGAAAAAGGGAUAGGCUCAUCACUUAGCCACCACACAGAACCAAAGACUCUGGGAAUAGUAUCCCUGAGAGAAGACACAGCUCCUACUGUGCACUCUGAAGAGAUACUGAAUCUAAGACUCUCAUUAUACCCUUUUGGAAAACCUACAGAGACUAAUGACAAACAGGACUUUGCAAGAGGCCUUAUUCUUAUAGUCCAGCAAGGAGUUAUUCUUCAGAGGAACGUCAUAAGAACUCUAGCAAAGGAGAAAAGAAAAGAAUUGCUGCACAACCAGGAGUUUUGGCCUGCCACUGUGAGAGGUGGUGGUGGUGGCUCCAGCUCCUAGAGCAGGAAGGGGACAGCGACAGUGACAGAAAAGAAGAGACUUGAGCUUCUGUAAUCAACAGUAGGAGACUGAGAGACUGUCUUAAAGUUCAACAAAUGUAUUCUAUACUUGAAAUCUGCUGCUUUUUUCUAUCACCACCUCGUUUAGAGAUCGGAUUUCUUAAAUAAAAGGUUAAAAAGAAAUUAAAGGUAUAAGAAG
rnacentral:lncRNA from 1 species